CAAAAAUUUUCCGUGAAGCCAAAAAUUUUUCUGGAUAUCUUAAAUUUUCGCCAUUUCUUCAAAAUAUUUUUCUAAAUUCCAAAAAUUUCCCAAAAUUUUUAUAAAUAGAAACUAUAAAUUCCCUGAAUCUCGUGAUUUUCCUACAAAAAGCAUCGUUGGAAAUGUGAUUUAUCACGUAUUAUUUUACAACUAAAAGGGCACUUCUGCCCCCCCUGUCCCCCUAGCAAAAGGCAAGGGGGGCAGCCGCCCCUCCCCUGCCCCCCCAGUUCCGGCGUCCCUGGAGAGAUCCCAGACGCAUGUAGAGGUCCUAUCCCAUAAUUAAAGUAAAUGACGU